rnacentral:rRNA from 2 species
GACGAACGCUGGCGGCGUGCCUAAUACAUGCAAGUCGAACGCACUCUCGUUAGAUUGAAGAAGCUUGCUUCUGAUUGAUAACAUUUGAGUGAGUGGCGGACGGGUGAGUAACACGUGGGUAACCUGCCCUAAAGUGGGGGAUAACAUUUGGAAACAGAUGCUAAUACCGCAUAAAACCUAGCACCGCAUGGUGCAAGGUUGAAAGAUGGUUUCGGCUAUCACUUUAGGAUGGACCCGCGGUGCAUUAGUUAGUUGGUGAGGUAAAGGCUCACCAAGACCGUGAUGCAUAGCCGACCUGAGAGGGUAAUCGGCCACACUGGGACUGAGACACGGUCCAGACUCCUACGGGAGGCAGCAGUAGGGAAUCUUCCACAAUGGACGAAAGUCUGAUGGAGCAACGCCGCGUGAGUGAAGAAGGUUUUCGGAUCGUAAAACUCUGUUGUUGGAGAAGAACGUAUUUGAUAGUAACUGAUCAGGUAGUGACGGUAUCCAACCAGAAAGCCACGGCUAACUACGUG